rnacentral:SRP_RNA from 1 species
GUCGGGCACAGUGGCAUGUGCCUGUAGUCCCAGCUACUCAGGAGGCUGAGGUGGGAGGAUCUCUUGAGCCCAGGAGUUCUGGGCUGUAGUACACUAUGCCGAUCGGGUGUCCGCACUAAGUUUGGCAUCAAUAUGGUGACUUCCCGGGAGCGGGGGACCAUCAGGUUGCCUAAGGAGAAGUGAAUCGGCCCAGGUAGAAAAUGGAGCAGGUCAAAACUCCCGUGCUGAUCAGUAGUGGGAUCACGCCUGUGAAUAGCCACUGCACUCCAGCCUGGACAACAUAGUGAGACCCUGUCUCU